UACGUAGGGUGCAAGCGUUGUCCGGAAUUAUUGGGCGUAAAGAGCGCGUAGGCGGUCUGUCGCGUCGGCUGUGAAAUCCCGAGGCUCAACCUCGGGUCUGCAGUCGAUACGGGCAAACUAGAGUAUUGCAGGGGAGACUGGAAUUCCUGGUGUAGCGGUGAAAUGCGCAGAUAUCAGGAGGAACACCGGUGGCGAAGGCGGGUCUCUGGGCAAUAACUGACGCUGAGGAGCGAAAGCGUGGGGAGCGAACAGG
rnacentral:rRNA from 1 species